rnacentral:misc_RNA from 1 species
UCCGUCUUACAACGGCAGUCUCGCUAGAGUCCCCGACAUGACUCGUUGGCAACUAGCGACAGGGGUUGCGCUCGUUAAGGGACUUAACCCGACACUUCACAGCACGAGCUGACGACAGCCAUGCAGCACCUGUGCAUGUUCCACCCUUGCGGGCGUCAUUAAUGUUUCCACCAACUAAUCCAUGCAUGUCAAACCCAGGUAAGGUUCUUCGCGUUGCUUCGAAUUAAGCAACAUGCUCCACCGCUUGUGUGAGCCCCCGUCAAUUCCUUUGAGUUUUAGUCUUGCGACCGUACUUCCCAGGCGGUGCACUUACCAAUUUCUCUACGAUCCAUACGGCGUCAGAGCCGCACAGAUCCAGUGCACAUCGUUUAGGGCGUGGACUAC